rnacentral:rRNA from 1 species
CCUACGGGAGGCAGCAGUAGGGAAUUUUCGGCCAUGGGGUGAACCCUGACCGAUCAACUCCGCGUGAACGAAGAAGUUAUUCGUAAUGUAACGUUCUUUUAACAGGGAAGAAAGAGAAAUUUGCCGUUACCUAAAGAAUAAGCUCCGGCUAACUACGUGCCAGCAGCCGCGGUAAUACGUAGGGAGCGAGCGUUAUCCGGAAUUAUUGGUCGUAAAGGGUGAGUAGAUGUCAUAGUAAGUCUUUUGUAAACAUGCUGGGCUCAAACCAGUAGGUCAAAAGAUACUGCAAAGCUAGAGUAUGACAGAGGUAAGUGGAACUACAUGUGUAGCGGUAAAAUGCGUAAAUAUAUGUAAGAACACCAGUGGCGAAGGCGGCUUGCUGGGUCGAUACUGACAUUGAGGCACGAAAGCGUGGGGAGCAAACAGGAUUAGAUACCCCUGUAGUC